GGAACAAGCAGCGGCUGUGCUGGGAUUUCUCAGCCCCAAACACAUCAGGUGUCUAACAUUAGUCCGACUAACGACUGUGCAGGGAUUUGGUCGGGUGUGGGGCUGCUCUGAAACUGCUUCUAAAAAAAUAAAAUAAAAAGGAGGUUGAACUCAAUGGACAUAAAUAUGGCUUUAUUCAACCUUAAUCACUGUGUAAAUCCUGCAUUGGCCACCUGGAGGGGGUUAGAAGUUAAGUUUUUAAACUACUGCCAGACAAUACACUCCAAUAAUUGCUGCCUGUGUAAUACCUCCACCAGCCGAACUAAUUUCCCACAAUCCCGUGCGCCUCCUUCCACAAACAGGUGCCCCGGAUUCCAAGAUGGCUACCGCAUUG